rnacentral:misc_RNA from 1 species
AUAAUCAACAAUGAUAAUUCUGAUUUAUCUAGAGAAUCAGAUAAUUAUAACCUAACAACACUAAAAAUUAAUAUAAUAACAAGCAUCAAUAAGUGAACAACACCAAACCCGAUCAAUUCGUUUUCGGAUCAGGCAUGGGGAACAAUCCGCCCCCGGCGGCUCCACGCGGUGGCGAAAACCCGAGAAACUUUUGGAGAUUUGUGCGGAUACUGAUCGAACACAGGAAAUACAAAAAUGCCAUUGAGCAAUCCGUCGCAUCAUCGCCUUGCAAUCCUCUGUGACUCAUCUUCAUCACGAUCCCUAUCGGCUUAAACGGCAAUUUGGCAACAACUUUCCCUUCGAAGAGCGAAUUCAACAGUCCAAAAACGAUGAAGAGAACCAAGGCAACAACGGCGCCGGAUUUGAACUUGAAGAGGGAGAGAUCACGACUGGACUCUUUCAAGGAGGUCUCGACGCGGUCAAUUUUCUUGGUCUUUGAUUUUUUGGUGGUGACUUUGACGGUUUCGGUUUUCAUAGUCUCAAGCUUCU